UACGAAGGGGGCUAGCGUUGCUCGGAAUCACUGGGCGUAAAGCGCACGUAGGCGGAUUGUUGAAGUCAGGGGUGAAAUCCUGGAGCUCAACUCCAGAACUGCCUUUGAUACUGGCGAUCUCGAGUCCGGGAGAGGUGAGUGGAACUGCGAGUGUAGAGGUGAAAUUCGUAGAUAUUCGCAAGAACACCAGUGGCGAAGGCGGCUCACUGGCCCGGUACUGACGCUGAGGUGCGAAAGCGUGGGGAGCAAACAGG
rnacentral:rRNA from 1 species